rnacentral:misc_RNA from 1 species
GAAAUGCGAUACGUAGUGUGAAUUGCGGAAUUCAGUGAAUCAUCGAAUCUUUGAACGCACAUUGCGCCCUUUGGUAUUCCAAAGGGCAUGCCUGUUCGAGCGUCAUUUGUACCCUCAAGCUUUGCUUGGUGUUGGGCGUUUUUUGUCUUUGGCUCGCCCAAAGACUCGCCUUAAAACGAUUGGCAGCCGGCCUACUGGUUUCGCAGCGCAGCACAUUUUUGCGCUUGCAAUCAGCAAAAGAGGACGGCAAUCCAUCAAGACUCCUUCUCACGUUUGACCUCGGAUCAGGUAGGGAUACCCGCUGAACUUAAGC